UACGAAAUGCGGUCUUAUAGCUAGCAUGAGACAAAGACGGCAACUCGCGGAAUUCUUCAUAUAAACUUUUCCGAGUCCGAGGUUCUAAUAAAUUCGUAUGUUUGUAUUAACUAAAUUGAGACAUAAACUAUAUUCCAGACUUGGUUAAAAUCCCCUUAUCUAUUCAUUUUGUCAAGAUAUCUAUACCGAUUGUAGCAAAAUUUGAUAAAAGCAAUUUUCAAAAUGUUUUACUGAGAAUGCAAUGAAUCAGGGAUUGUUCUUUCAUAACUCCCCUCGUCUCGUGCACUUUAAAAUUAACUGGUACUCCAGAUUUUUAUCAAGGCCUCCGCGCAAGAGAAUAUGUAAAUGUUUCCCUUUACGAAACCAGCUUCUUUUUCCAUUCCUGGUAAAGUUUUGUCAUAUAUUCUAAAGCUUUCUCUUGCUCUGAAGGCAAAAUUAAUUCCACAGGAGUAGAGAGGACUCUUUCAUGACCAAAACGAGUCACGGCUGCUCCCCACUUGAUAGAUUGAUCUUCUUUGGUAGCAUGUAAAGCAGUCCAAAGAAAAGCAAAAGCAGCAACGUAUGGAGAAAUUGUAUGCCAAGGACUUCCAAGUAAGCGACAAAUAUAGAAACCGAGCUUUGCACACAUAACCAAUAUAGGACCGAGGAAAGUUUCAUACAUGUUAGUAGUACAUAGUCCGGGAUGGACAAGGUAUUGUUCAAAAGGGAGUCCCUUUUCAAGUUCUGCAUAGUGUAACACAUCUAACAAACGCUUUGAAGAUUGAUAGGGUUGCUCGCCGUGAAAACAUUGUAGGUCUUCAAAAUCAAGGGAUUUUUUUUCUGCUACUAAACUGCUUGUAAGGACUACCUUUGUUGACGAACGGAGCACUUUUAGUUCGGCCAGGCGAUUUUUCUUAUGUAAAUUAGUACUAACAUACGGAAUUAAGGUGAAAAAACUUACCAAAUAAAAAUGACCAAAAACAUUACUUUCAAAUAUGUAACCGAGGGAGUCAUUGCUCACACGUCCAGCAGUCUCUUUGUAAAAGGUUGGAUGCGUCAGUGCCUGGAUAGGGUUGAUCAAAGUAGAAAAGAUAGCCUUUAGCCAUUGAAUACCUUCCAGGUCCCAAGCACCAGCAUUUAGGUAAACAAAAUCUAAUUUAGGGAAUCUAGUAGCGAUAUCUUGCACCGCAGCUUCCACUGAUGCCAUAUUCGACAAGUCUAACAAAACGUAUUCCAACCGUAUUUUCCUAUCGGGAAAGAAUUCUUUCAAUCUUCUACAGGCAUCUUCUGCCUUUUCACGACUCCUGCAUGUAAGAAUUACCGUGAAUACUUCGGGUUCAUCUUGCAAACGCGGUUGGUAGAACUGCAAAAGACGCGUAGCUAUUCCAAAACCAAGACCACUGUAAUCAUUAACUGUGUUGCUCUAGAUAUCUUAAUAAUAUUUUACCUGUUGGAGCCGGUAAUUAAGGCAUAUUUACGAA